AAUAAGGCCUUUGGUCUGGGCUAGAGUCCUAGAAGCUGGGUUAGAGUCCUAGAAUAUUUUCCUUUAGGUCGGGUUGUAGUCCCGACUUGGGUUCCAGAGAGACUGUUGAUCUGAUCUUAAAUACAUUGCACUUUCAAUUUUACUUACUAAAAAGCCUUUUUAACUUUCAAUUUAAUUUUCUCUUAAAUACAUUGCACUUUCUAUUUUACUCAUUUCUUGCAUAUGUUUUCUUUUACUUAUCUAUUAUUUUAUUUUAUUGUAUGACAAUGUUUAUAUGUGAAGCACUUUGAGUCUGCCUUGUGUAUGAAAAGUGCUAUAUAAAUAAAGUUGCCUUGCCUUGC